rnacentral:rRNA from 1 species
AACGAACGCUGGCGGCAGGCUUAACACAUGCAAGUCGAGCGCCCCGCAAGGGGAGCGGCAGACGGGUGAGUAACGCGUGGAAUCUACCCAUCUCUACGGAAUAACGCAUGGAAACGUGUGCUAAUACCGUAUACGUCCUUCGGGAGAAAGAUUUAUCGGAGAUGGAUGAGCCCGCGUUGGAUUAGCUAGUUGGUGGGGUAAAGGCCUACCAAGGCGACGAUCCAUAGCUGGUCUGAGAGGAUGAUCAGCCACACUGGGACUGAGACACGGCCCAGACUCCUACGGGAGGCAGCGGUGGGGAAUAUUGGACAAUGGGCGCAAGCCUGAUCCAGCCAUGCCGCGUGAGUGAUGAAGGCCCUAGGGUUGUAAAGCUCUUUCACCGGUGAAGAUAAUGACGGUAACCGGAGAAGAAGCCCCGGCUAACUUCGUGCCAGCAGCCGCCGUAACAC